rnacentral:rRNA from 1 species
GUCGCAAGACCAAAGUGGGGGACCUUCGGGCCUCAUGCCAUCAGAUGUGCCCAGAUGGGAUUAGCUAGUAGGUGGGGUAAUGGCUCACCUAGGCGACGAUCCCUAGCUGGUCUGAGAGGAUGACCAGCCACACUGGAACUGAGACACGGUCCAGACUCCUACGGGAGGCAGCAGUGGGGAAUAUUGCACAAUGGGCGCAAGCCUGAUGCAGCCAUGCCGCGUGUGUGAAGAAGGCCUUCGGGUUGUAAAGCACUUUCAGCGGGGAGGAAGGCG